rnacentral:rRNA from 1 species
GGGCCCGCACAAGCGGUGGAGCAUGUGGUUCAAUUCGACGCAACGCGAAGAACCUUACCUGGGCUCGAAGCGCAGUGGACCGGGGUAGAAAUAUCCCUUUCCGCAAGGACUGCUGCGGAGGUGCUGCAUGGCUGUCGUCAGCUCGUGUCGUGAGAUGUUGGGUUAAGUCCCGCAACGAGCGCAACCCUUAUUGCCAGUUGCCAGCGGGUUAUGCCGGGCACUCUGGCGAAACUGCCCCGGAUAACGGGGAGGAAGGUGGGGAUGACGUCAAGUCCUCAUGGCCUUUAUGUCCAGGGCUACACACGUGCUACAAUGGCCGGUACAAACCGUCGCAAACCCGCGAGGGGGAGCUAAUCGGAAAAAGCCGGCCUCAGUUCGGAUUGGAGUCUGCAACUCGACUCCAUGAAGCUGGAAUCGCUAGUAAUCGCGGAUCAGCACGCCGCGGUGAAUACGUUCCCGGGCCUU